UUUAAUUUUUGUUUUCUUUUUCUUCUUUUCUAAUUUGUCUGGCCAAUGAUUGAGCAUAUGACUAACCCAAAUGCUCAUUUUUAUUUAGUUUUUCUUGCUUUUCUCUUAUCUUGUCAAGUCUUUAGUGAUGAACAGUCCGAAGAAAAAAAAAUUGAAACACAUAAUAAUAUAGUGCUUGAUAAAUUAAAAGGUUCAACAAAUGCUGGCUCCAUGACUUUUAACGGCAGAUUCCUAAUAUUAAAACGAAUUACAAUAAUACUACUCAUGCAUUCACUUAGAUAUUAUCCUAGCGCAAAUCAUGUUCAUGCUCCUCGUCCUCUCCGCCGUCGGCAUCGCGGUGGUGCUCCCAAUGCCAUCCGCCGACACCGCCUCCGUCCCCGUCCACUAUAUCCAUUAUUUCCAUGGGUACCUCAACCCAAGGCUUUGCCAGCUUUGACAAGGCCUCCGUCUAUGCCUUCCCAUCAUCAUGAGUAAGAUGUGCUUUCACUUAUUUAUUAGCGAAAAAUGGAUAAAUAGAUCAUUAGCUUUUUGAUCCGUAAACAUUUAAAUUUUUAAAGAUUUAAGAACACAUUUAAAUAUUUGAUUUUUUUAAAAUUUGGACAUAUAGAUCUUUUAUAUUCACUUGGAUAUGUUAAAUUUAACGAAAAAAUUAAACGUAACUCCUGUUAUAUUGACCUGGUUGAUACGGAUGCACACGUAAGAGAAUUUUUAAAAUGGGAUAAAUUAAACCCAGGAAUCGAUAUGUCUAGAUUUUGAAGAAGUUAGAAACUUGAAUGUAUUUUUAAAUUCUCAGAGACUUAAAUAUCCGCAGGCCCAAAAAUUAGGAAUCGAUUCAUCUUUUUCUCUUUAUUAGGAUUAACAUUUUACUCGAACGAUCAAAGAUGUUCUGUUUAGUAGCACUACUAAGUUAAUCAAUAGUUCAAUAAACUUUUAUGCUUA